UACGUAGGGGGCAAGCGUUGUCCGGAAUCAUUGGGCGUAAAGAGCUCGUAGGUGGCCUGUCGCGUCGGCUGUGAAAACUCGGGGCUCAACUCCGAGCUUGCAGUCGAUACGGGCAGGCUAGAGUUCGGCAGGGGAGACUGGAAUCCUGGUGUAGCGGUGGAAUGCGCAGAUAUCAGGAGGAACACCGGUGGCGAAGGCGGAUCUCUGGGCCAUAACUGACGCUGAGGAGCGAAAGCAUGGGGAGCGAACAGG
rnacentral:rRNA from 1 species